rnacentral:rRNA from 1 species
CAGUAGCCGCGGGAAUACAGAGGCCUCAAGCGUUGUUCGGAUUCAUUGGGCGUAAAGGGUGCGUAGGUGGCUUGGUAAGUUGAAGGUGAAAUCUCGGGGCUUAACCCCGAAACUGCCUUCAAUACUGCUAGGCUCGAGGACUGUAGAGGAGAAUGGAAUUCACGGUGUAGCAGUGAAAUGCGUAGAUAUCGUGAGGAAGAUUAGUGGCGAAGGCGAUUCUCUGGGCAGUUCCUGACACUGAGGCACGAAGGCCAGGGGAGCAAACGGGAUUAGAUACCCGAGUAGUCCCUGUCUCUUAUAC